UACGGGGGGAGCAAGCGUUGUUCGGAUUUACUGGGCGUAAAGGGCGCGUAGGCGGCCACCGCAAGUCGACUGUGAAAUCUCCGGGCUUAACCCGGAAAGGUCAGCCGAUACUGCGGGGCUAGAGUGCAGAGGGGGCAACUGGAAUUCUCGGUGUAGCGGUGAAAUGCGUAGAUAUCGAGAGGAACACCUGCGGCGAGGGCGGGUUGCUGGGCUGACACUGACGCUGAGGCGCGAAAGCGUGGGGAGCAAACAGG
rnacentral:rRNA from 1 species